rnacentral:rRNA from 1 species
AAUAUUGCACAAUGGGCGAAAGCCUGAUGCAGCGACGCCGCGUGAGGGAUGACGGCCUUCGGGUUGUAAACCUCUUUCAGCAGGGACGAUUGUGACGGUACCUGCAGAAGAAGCCCCGGCCAACUACGUGCCAGCAGCCGCGGUAAUACGUAGGGGGCGAGCGUUGUCCGGAUUUAUUGGGCGUAAAGAGCUCGUAGGUGGUUCGAUAAGUCGGGUGUGAAAACUCUGGGCUUAACUCAGAGACGCCACCCGAUACUGUCGUGACUUGAGUCUGGUAGGGGAGUGUGGAAUUCCCAGUGUAGCGGUGAAAUGCGCAGAUAUUGGGAGGAACACCAGUGGCGAAGGCGGCACUCUGGGCCAGUACUGACACUGAGGAGCGAAAGCGUGGGUAGCGAAC